rnacentral:ncRNA from 1 species
GAAAGCCGUGUACGGGAGAACCGUAUGCACGGUUUGAUGAGGGAGGGCUGGCAUCCUGUGGCGACGACUCGGCUAGUGAGGCACCGCCAAACGAAAGGGGCGGAAACAGAUAGGCCGGAUCUACGGACGCCGGAUGCCUGCUCUCUACUCUAC